CUUUUAGAAAAGUUGCUAUAGUUUAUACUUCGGAGCAACUUUCCUGGUAGAAAAGUUGUUCAGAGUCAGAAUAAAAAACACAAAUCAUAGUAAAACCAAUAGAUCCCUCGCAAAACUUCGAAUUUAAAAAAAAAGAGCUGAUACUACUGGGGAUGGGAGUGGCCACUGUUGUAGGUGAGAAAUUGGGAAGGUGGGAUAUAUAAGAUUAUUUAAUUUAUAUCUGUAAGCAACGAUAAACCAUUGCUUGACGAAAGAAGAUUCCGAG